CCCAGACUCCUACGGGAGGCAGCAGUGGGGGAUAUUGCACAAUGGGGGGAACCCUGAUGCAGCGACGCCGCGUGGGUGAAGGAGCGUUUCGGCGCGUAAAGCCCUAUCGGCAGGGAAGAAGGAGGACGGUACCUGACUAAGAAGCCCCGGCUAACUACGUGCCAGCAGCCGCGGUAAUACGUAGGGGGCAAGCGUUAUCCGGAUUUACUGGGUGUAAAGGGGGCGCAGACGGCAGCGCAAGCCAGGAGUGAAAGCCCGGGGCCCAACCCCGGGACUGCUCUUGGAACUGCGCGGCUGGAGUGCAGGAGGGGCAGGCGGAAUUCCUGGUGUAGCGGUGAAAUGCGUAGAUAUUAGGAGGAACACCAGUGGCGAAGGCGGCCUGCUGGACAGUAACUGACGUUGAGGCUCGAAAGCGUGGGGAGCAAACAGGAUUAGAUACCCCAGUA
rnacentral:rRNA from 1 species